AUUGAACGCUGGCGGCAGGCCUAACACAUGCAAGUCGAGCGGAGCGGCGGACGGAUGGGUAAUUCCUAGGAAUCUACCUGGUAGUGGGGGGUGGCGUACGGCAACAGGCGCUAAUAACUACUGCUAGCAGAUGAGCCUAGGUGGGAUGAGCUAGUUGGUGGGGUAAGGGCCUACCAAGGCGACGAUCCGUAACUGGUCUGAGAGGAUGAUCAGUCACACUGGAACUGAGACACGGUCCAGACUCCUACGGGAGGCAGCAGUGGGGAAUAUUGGACAAUGGGCGAAAGCCUGAUCCAGCCAUGCCGCGUGUGUGAAGAAGGCCUUCGGAUUGUAAAGCACUUUCAGUUGGGAGGCGUUACCAACAGAAUAAGCACCGGCUAACUUCGUGCCAGCAGCCGCGGUAAUUC
rnacentral:rRNA from 1 species